rnacentral:rRNA from 1 species
AUUGAACGCUGGCGGAAUGCUUUACACAUGCAAGUCGAACGGCAGCAUAGGUGCUUGCACCUGAUGGCGAGUGGCGAACGGGUGAGUAAUACAUCGGAACGUGCCCAGUCGUGGGGGAUAACGUAGCGAAAGUUACGCUCACAUCGCAUACGAUCUAAGGAUGAAAGCGGGGGACCGUAAGGCCUCGCGCGAUUGGAGCGGACGAUGUCAGAUUAGGUAGUUGGUGAGGUAAAGGCUCACCAAGCCGACGAUCUGUAGCUGGUCUGAGAGGGCGACCAGCCACACUGGGACUGAGACACGGCCCAGACUCCUACGGGAGGCAGCAGUGGGGAAUUUUGGACAAUGGACGCAAGUCUGAUCCAGCCAUUCCGCGUGCAGGACGAAGGCCUUCGGGUUGUAAACUGCUUUUGUACGGAACGAAAAAGCUCUUACUAAUACUAGGAGUCCAUGACGGUACCGUAAGAAUAAGCACCGGCUAACUACGUGCCAGCCGCCGCUGUAA